CUGUUGUCAAACAUCCCAUUAAUUUUACUUUGUAGAAGAAAGAGAGCUCAAAACCCGAAUCAAAGACUUGUUCCACUGCCGUAAGAAUGGUAUCACGAAAUUAGAGGAAAUUGAAAAGUUUGAAGAAGAAAGAUUGAAAAGAGAGAAAAAGAAAGAAUCGAAAUUAAAAAAGCUUGGCAGUAUUUCCCAAGGAAAACGACUUUUAAUGGCUUCAAAAAAUGUCGCAGACGAAGAAAAACUAGAUAUACUCAUCGACGAAAGCGUUAAGGGCAUUUCUAUUAUAUAUUGUAUCUUUCUGAUUCUUUUCUGAUCAUUAUUAGCCUUUCAAAUUUUACUAUUAAUGGUAUAUUUCUAUUUUAAAAAC